rnacentral:rRNA from 1 species
GACGAACGCUGGCGGCGCGCUUAAUACAUGCAAGUCGAGCGAGAACCAGGGCUUCGGCCCUGGGGACAGCGGCGAACGGGUGAGUAACACGUGGGUAAUCAACCCCCGACACCGGGAUAGCCCAGGGAAACUUGGAUUAAUACCGUAUGCCCCGUCUGGCCUUCGGGCCGGCCGGAAAAGGGUAGCUUCGGCCUCUGGUCGGGGACGAGCCCGCGGCGGAUUAGCUUGUUGGGGAGGUAAAGGCUCACCAAGGCGACGAUCCGUAGCUGGUCUGAGAGGACGAUCAGCCACACUGGGACUGAGACACGGCCCAGACUCCUACGGGAGGCAGCAGUAGGGAAUCUUGCGCAAUGGGCGAAAGCCUGACGCAGCGACGCCGCGUGAGGGAAGAAGGCCUUCGGGUUGUAAACCUCUUUCAGGAGGGACGAAGCCACUCGGGUUAAUAGCCUAGAGGGUGACGGUACCUCCAGAAGAAGCCCCGGCUAACUACGUGCCAGCCGCCGCAGUAAAAC